UUCGCAGGCGGUCUGAAUAGUCAGAUGUGAAAGACUAUGGCUUAACCAUAGUAAGCAUUUGAAACUGUCAGACUUGAGUUAAGGAGAGGAAAGUGGAAUUCCUAGUGUAGCGGUGAAAUGCGUAGAUAUUAGGAGGAAUACCAGUGGCGAAGGCGACUUUCUGGACUUAUACUGACGCUGAGGAACGAAAGCGUGGGGAGCAAACAG
rnacentral:rRNA from 1 species